rnacentral:rRNA from 1 species
GACAGAGGAUGCAAGCGUUAUCCGGAAUGAUUGGGCGUAAAGCGUCUGUAGGUGGCUUUUAAGUCCGCCGUCAAAUCCCAGGGCUCAACCUGGACAGGCGGUGGAAACUACCAAGCUGGAGUACGGUAGGGGCAGAGGGAAUUUCCGGUGGAGCGGUGAAAUGCGGUAGAGAUCGGAAAGAACACCAACGGCGAAAGCAACUCUGCUGGGCCGACACUGACACUGAGAGACGAAAGCUAGGGGAGCGAAUGGG